GCGCCGUCUUUUCCGCUGCGAUCCGCUCCUGGGGACCGAUCGACCGGCUGCCACCGGUUCCCGCUGCUUUCCUUCUCGUUCCGGCACCGUUAAUCGCUUUGUUUACGGCUCGUCGGGAUCGACUUCGAUGGACCCGCUGGAAAAGAAACGAGCUUCGCUACCACGGAGAACGCGAUCGAGCUUUCCGGACGUGUGUGCUUGCGGAUUCCUCGCUGGUGAACCUUAGGGGGACUCUAAACUUACGGUUAGCCGCUUGCUCGAGCAAACUUUGAAGGCUGCCAGCUCCGACAUCUGGGACAAGACGUCUACGAUUCGCCGACGGUGCCCGGAUGCGGGUGAACCGCAGGACAUCCGCGGGCCCAGGAGCCGCUCGUCCGUCGCGAGGACGCCGCGAGGACGCCGCGAGGACGCCGCGAGGACGCCG